UACACUCCUACGGGAGGCAGCAGUGGGGAAUAUUGCACAAUGGGCGCAAGCCUGAUGCAGCCAUGCCGCGUGUGUGAAGAAGGCCUUCGGGUUGUAAAGCACUUUCAGCGGGGAGGAAGGCAAUACGGUUAAUAACCGUGUUGAUUGACGUUACCCGCAGAAGAAGCACCGGCUAACUCCGUGCCAGCAGCCGCGGUAAUACGGAGGGUGCAAGCGUUAAUCGGAAUUACUGGGCGUAAAGCGCACGCAGGCGGUCUGUCAAGUCGGAUGUGAAAUCCCCGGGCUCAACCUGGGAACUGCAUUCGAAACUGGCAGGCUUGAGUCUUGUAGAGGGGGGUAGAAUUCCAGGUGUAGCGGUGAAAUGCGUAGAGAUCUGGAGGAAUACCGGUGGCGAAGGCGGCCCCCUGGACAAAGACUGACGCUCAGGUGCGAAAGCGUGGGGAGCAAACAGGAUUAGAUACCCGGGUAGUCCCAUG
rnacentral:rRNA from 1 species